rnacentral:lncRNA from 1 species
CCCUUUUGUGUUUAGGAAAAGUGUGUGGGAAUAUUAGAGGGUUGAAUAAAAACUUGGAAGGUAGGAGAAUUAUUUAUGGAAGAGAGAACUUUGUAUUUUUGCUUGAUUCAAAAGUGUUGGAUUACAUCUCUAUUUAUAGUACUUUAAGGAGAACUCUAGACACACUAAUUCUAGAGAGUUCUCAACUCUAGAUAUUCAAAGAGUAUUCUAGAGAAUAUUACAAUCUUAAGAAAUAUCUAGAUACUCUAAAUACUACAAGAUUUUUCUAGAAACAUUAUCCAAUAUAAACUAAGCCCAAAUAACUAAGUCCAAAAUCAAAUAAUAAAAUUAGGCCCAAAUCAAGUUUAAUAUUUCAA